rnacentral:rRNA from 1 species
UAGGGAAUCUUCCACAAUGGACGCAAGUCUGAUGGAGCAACGCCGCGUGAGUGAAGAAGGUUUUCGGAUCGUAAAGCUCUGUUGUUGGUGAAGAAGGAUAGAGGCAGUAACUGGUCUUUAUUUGACGGUAAUCAACCAGAAAGUCACGGCUAACUACGUGCCAGCAGCCACGGUAAUACGUAGGUGGCAAGCGUUGUCCGGAUUUAUUGGGCGUAAAGCGAGCGCAGGCGGAAUGAUAAGUCUGAUGUGAAAGUCCACGGCUCAACCGUGGAACUGCAUCGGAAACUGUCAUUCUUGAGUGCAGAAGAGGAGAGUGGAACUCCAUGUGUAGCGGUGGAAUGCGUAGAUAUAUGGAAGAACACCAGUGGCGAAGGCGGCUCUCUGGUCUGCAACUGACGCUGAGGCUCGAAAGCAUGGGUAGCGAACAGGAUUAGAUACCCUGGUAGUCCAUGCCGUAAACGAUGAGCGCUAGGUGUUGGGGCA